UACGAAGGGGGCUAGCGUUGCUCGGAAUCACUGGGCGUAAAGCGCACGUAGGCGGCUUGUUAAGUCAGGGGUGAAAUCCUGGAGCUCAACUCCAGAACUGCCUUUGAUACUGGCGAGCUUGAGUCCGGGAGAGGUGAGUGGAACUGCGAGUGUAGAGGUGAAAUUCGUAGGUAUUCGCAAGAACACCAGUGGCGAAGGCGGCUCACUGGCCCGGUACUGACGCUGAGGCACGAAAGCGUGGGGAGCAAACAGG
rnacentral:rRNA from 1 species